rnacentral:rRNA from 1 species
UACGUAGGGUGCAAGCGUUAUCCGGAAUUACUGGGCGUAAAGAGCUCGUAGGCGGUCUGUCGCGUCGGCUGUGAAACCCCGAGGCUCAACCUCGGGCCUGCAGUCGAUACGGGCAGACUAGAGUGCGGUAGGGGAGACUGGAAUUCCUGGUGUAGCGGUGAAAUGCGCAGAUAUCAGGAGGAACACCGGUGGCGAAGGCGGGUCUCUGGGCCGUAACUGACGCUGAGGAGCGAAAGCGUGGGGAGCGAACAGG